UACGUAGGAUGCGAGCGUUAUCCGGAUUUAUUGGGUUUAAAGGGUGCGUAGGCGGGCUGUUAAGUCAGCGGUAAAAGCCCGGGGCUCAACCCCGGCGAGCCGUUGAAACUGGCUGUCUUGAGAUGUCGAGAGGUAUGCGGAAUGCGCAGUGUAGCGGUGAAAUGCUUAGAUAUUGCGCAGAACUCCGAUUGCGAAGGCAGCAUACCGGCGGCGAUCUGACGCUGAGGCACGAAAGCGUGGGUAUCGAACAGG
rnacentral:rRNA from 1 species